AACGCAUAUUGCGCUCUCUGGUAUUCCGGAGAGCAUGCUUGUUUGAGUAUCAGUAAACACCUCAACUCCCUUUCUUUUUGAAAUGGAGCUGGACUUGAGUGAUCCCAACGCUUUAUUUAUAAAGUGGCGGGUUACUUGAAAUGCAGGUGCAGCUGAACUUUUCUCUGAGCUAUAAGCAUAUCUAUUUAGUCUGCCUCAAAACAGAUUAUUACCUUUGCUGCAGCUAACAUAAAGGAGAUUAGUUCUUGUGCUGACUGAUGCAGGAUUCACAAAGACCGCUUCGGCUGUCUUUGUAAACUCGAUCUCAAAUCAAGUAAGACUACCCGCUGAACUUAA
rnacentral:misc_RNA from 1 species